rnacentral:rRNA from 1 species
GAUGAACGCUGGUGGCGUGCCUAAUACAUGCAAGUCGAGCGAACAGACGAGGAGCUUGCUCCUCUGACGUUAGCGGCGGACGGGUGAGUAACACGUGGAUAACCUACCUAUAAGACUGGGAUAACUUCGGGAAACCGGAGCUAAUACCGGAUAAUAUAUUGAACCGCAUGGUUCAAUAGUGAAAGACGGUUUUGCUGUCACUUAUAGAUGGAUCCGCGCCGCAUUAGCUAGUUGGUAAGGUAACGGCUUACCAAGGCAACGAUGCGUAGCCGACCUGAGAGGGUGAUCGGCCACACGGGAACUGAGACACGGUCCAGACUCCUACGGGAGGAAGCAGUAGGGAAUCUUCCGCAAUGGGCGAAAGCCUGACGGAGCAACGCCGCGUGAAUGAUGAAGGUCUUCGGAUCGUAAAACUCUGUUAUUAGGGAAGAACAAAUGUGUAAGUAACUAUGCACGUCUUGACGGUACCUAAUCAGAAAGCCACGGCUAACUACGUG